GCCGGGGCUGCUGGGCCCCUCUGGCUUUGCUGGAACAAAAUGGCCAACAACUGCCCACGUAGGGCACUGGUGGCUCCUCUGCGUGGCCUUGGGGCACCUAAUGGUCUCCUAAUGGCCCUUGCUUCCGGAGCACUGUAUCCUGACGCUUCCCAGGCCACCUGCCAGGCCAGCAAGCACCCGUGGAUAACUCAGCACGGAAGUGCCAACCGAAGGGCUCUGAGGUGACAGUAGCCAGUUGCCAGGCCUCGGCCAAAGGUGGCUGUGGACUCAGGACAGUGAUGUGGGAGCUGGGCACUGGCUGCACCUGGGUGUAAGGCUGUCCUCUGGGAUGGUGGCAGAUCUCACUUUGUCAGGGAGGCCACUGAAAGAGUGAGGCCCGUGGGCAUGGCCACCCUGUCACCUGAGCUAGGAAGGACCUCCAGCCAGCUGAGAUCCUGGCCACUCGGGAGGCUGAGGAAGGAGGAUGGCAAGUCUGAGGUCAGCCUGGGCCACUUAGCGAGACUCUCUCAGAAUAAAAAGGGCUGGGGACGUGGCUUAGUGGUAGAGCGCCCAGCCUCAACCCCCAGUGCCAGAGAGAUACGAGGACUCUUCUCCACGUGUGGAGGGUGGUGGGUCACCCCGGCUCCGGCCAGAUCCCCUACAAUGUGCCCCCAAAUCCCACCACCAUUUUGGCCUCACCCUUUGGCCCAGGGACUUGUCUCAGCCAGAAGCGCUGGUCCCCUAAUGGCGCUUGCUCCAGGCCACGUGUUGUCCAC
rnacentral:lncRNA from 1 species